AGAGCGGGAGACAGGCGGCUGGGCCACGUCCACGCGGGCUUCUCGAGCCCGAGCUCGGGGGCAGAACCUGCGGGCCACUCUCUGCACCGACAAUGCACGGUCCCUUCCCCGCCAUAGCCCUAGCGCAGCAGGCCUACCGCACCUGCGUUUCUGGAACUUUCUUCCCACAGCCCCAUCCAGGCCUAGCUCCGUGCCGCUCCCUCAGAGAGGCUCCCGCACGUGCUGGGGUGGCCACUCCCCCCCCACCGCUGCGGGAAGCCACACGAGGCCCUGAGCGCUGACCACGCUGCACACCGUGUCACCACGCCCUCCCUCUUCCAGCACGGGAUCCGGACAGGACACUCCUCGCUCACGCAGACGCCAGGACCCCAGCAGAGCCCAACACGGAUGCCCCGGGGGGAUGAAUCAGCUUCCACGUCCAGGCAUCAGAUCCACCCAUGUGUCUCUGGAAAUGCCGCCCCCGACGUCAGACCUGCGAUCCAGGGCACCCUUGCUGGCAGGGGAAUGGGGACGCAGGUCUGGUCAAGGAAGGCCCGCCUUCCCUGCCGUGAUUGGGUCAGGGGCAGUCACAUGUCCCGGCCCAGACCAAUCAGAGUGAGCGUCAGCAUUGUUCCCAGGAGCAACAGGAAAGGGAUUGGUUCAGGCCCAGUCACGUGCCCCGACCCCAUCCAAUCACAGUGAGCCUUGGGCUUGUCAUGUGCUGAGGGGAAGGCCUGCGUUCCGGGAGGAGGUGAGGAUGCCCACUGCCACCAUCUUGUCACCGUGCGGGGCCCAGAGGUGAGUCAGGACCCCCUGGAUCCCUGGGUUCCAGAACCCAGACCCGACAAAGACCAAGAUUUGAGAGAGAAUUUCUGAUUACAUCACUGGAGCCUGGGUCCAGCCGCGCCUGAGCGUGCAGGGCAGGAGCCGCCUUGUGGUGGCUUCUGUCACUUCCAGCACGAGGACCCUCCCUCCUGCGGUGGGGGCAUCGGGAGCCGCGUCUGGGUCAGGCUCCUAAAAGCACAGCUCCUGAGCCUCCACUGUCCGGCUUGUUCUCGUCUGUCGGGGACGCGAGCAGCGCCCUGGCUGUGGGGACUGAGCGGCGCUGCCCGUGGUCUCCCCGGUCUCUGAGGCCCCCCUGGCCUCCCUGGUCUCUUGAUCUCCCCAACCUCCGUGCCCCCCCCCUCCAGUCUCCAGCAUCCCUAGUCCAGGGUCUCCAUUGUCUCCCCAGCCUCCGGCCUCCACAGCCUCCCUAGUGACCCGUCUCCGUGGUCUCUCCGGCCUCUACAGCGUCCCGGCCUCCCCUGUCUCUGGGGCCUCCUCAGUCUCUCUGGGGCUCUGAGGACACCGAGGAGAUGGGACACGCAGGACUGAGCGUGUCCACAGCUGGAGUGACGUGCAGGCGGCACCGUGUGAACGCCGAUGUGCAGGGCUCACGCGGGAACCGUGGCCUCACACCCGGGAGCAGGUGGACGUGUGGGCGCUCAGGGCCUCCGACACGGGUGUGAUGGUGCAGAGAACUCGGGUGUGCAACACAAGUGAGCGACACCACAGCGGGCCAUGUGCAGGUGCCGCGGUGGCACAGGUGACCCAGAGAAUGGGGACACGGCCGUCACAGCAAUGCGAGCAUCCCACCCCCACCCCAGUGAGGGCACCUGACAGGCGGACGGCGACGGUGUGAGCGCCCCAGCGGAGCCCAGGCAGAGCUGGCUACACGCGCACGAGGGGGAGUUCACAGGCAAGCGGAUGGGACGGCACAGCCCUAGAUCGGCCACACCGACCGCGCGGCUGUGACCCGCACACAGGCCACGCCGGCCCCUGGACUCCAAUGAAAAGCGGGAAAGGACCGCAUACAGGCACAGUAGUCCCUUCUGGCCCGAGAGCGGAGGCUCUGGCCAGCAUGUGGGUAACCAGGCUGCGGGGCGAUGAGGGCCCUCGGCGGGUCUCCAGCGCUCCGUCUGGAGAGGGAGAUGGGGGUGCUGGACUGAGUCCUCAUUUGUACGGCAGGUCACAGUUGUAAAUCACUCCCCUUCGAUCGUCCACAGAGAAGAACGUCAGCAUGUUUGCGGCAGGUGGUCCUGGUGUGUACGCUUCUCUCUGAGCUGCAGGGGUGCAGGGAAGAUUUGCAGUGAAGCCUUCCUCUGGCAGAUAAAAAGCAGCUUAUGUGGAAGUUCCUGAUGGACUUGCUGCAUAAAUCCUUCCCUGCCACGUCCUGCUGCCCAGGCCUGCCCAGCACCCCUCCUGUUAUCAGAAGUGGGGCUCCCCUGGGAGGUGGGAACCAGCCGGCUGCCGGGUAGAGAGUCCCCAGAUCCUGGGAGGCCCCGGACAUCCCCGGGGAUCGGGAUAGAGGCGUCAGGUGAGGGCAUCCCAGGUCCCGGCGUCCAGCCCCAACAGCUCAGGGACCAGCCCGGGCCUCAGGAGGUGGGCGCUGGUGACACCGUGGGCCAGGCUGCACUGGGACUCUCCAUCCGGGGACUGGUUCUGUUCUGCACCUUCCAGAGCCCCGGGGGUGGUCCCCUGCCGCGGGUCAUCCCAGUGAUGCAGGGGAUAACUGUCCUGGCUGGGCCAUGGAGGAACCUGUCCCUGGGAGGUGGUGACAUGGGCCACAUCCCCAAGCGGAACACGCAUUCACCCAGGUCGGGGCGAGGAGGCUGCUUCAUAGAUGUUUGCCCCUGGGGCCGCUCUGAGUCAGGUUCCCAGGCCCCCCUUUCCUUCACACUGUGCACAGGGGACUCUGAGUUCUGGGUGAAAAGCAUAGAAUCUCCCAAGUCUUUUUCCAGGUUUUCUGACCCUCGGCCCCGAAGGAGCCCAGGUCCUCAACUUGGACCCAGAGAACCGCGACCCAUCCCUGGAGAGAUGGUCGCCCGUGGGAUGUCCUGGGUCCUGUGCUGCUGGCAGAGCAGAGGGAGCUGAGAAAGAAAGUUCUGUGUGAAUUCAAAAUGCAGCAAGGCUUUGAGAAGACAUCAAAGUCCGUUCCACUUUUCAAGAACCAAACGCACGGCCAGGAACAUCACUGAGUGAUGUCAGCACUUGGCCCUCCCAGCAAGUCUCCAUUCUCUGAAGCCUCCCAUGUGAUCUUAGUAUAAUUAAAAGCUCAUAAUGUCCAAGACUGUUUAGAAGGAAAAAAGACACUGUUCUCUUCUCUGAAAUUAAUUAUGUGCUUGUCAGAGCCCAUUUACAGCAUCCCUGGGAGUGUGUGACAGCCCACACGUCCCUGUGGACUUUGGUGGCCUUUUUCACUGCCUGCAAGUGCUGAGCGGGUCCAGGGAUGAGAGCUUUCCCGGUCAGGUGAUCACGACUAUGGACUGUCUCCAGUCCCCGGGCUGCUGCGGGUUCAAGGUGUGGCUCGAGGCCCUGCUGCCGCAGCCCUGGGCGCCUGGACGCUGCUCACGGCCUGUGCACCAGGGUGACCCUUGGCCCUGGAUCCGCUGGGACGUCAACCACAGUCAGGCAUCAGGCACAUUUCCCUCGUAAAGAAGCUAUCCCCCAGCUAUCAGAGCAUGCAACUCAUUCAUUCAGAAUGUGUUUUCUCAGGUACCAGUUUAUGUCCUUGAAAUUGAAGCUAUAAAUCCUAAUAGCGAAACAGAUUCGUUCCCUGCCUUCACGUUUACAGUUUAGAGAGGGAUACAGAAUCACAGUAACUACUCUAAAGACAUAGAAUUGCAAAGUGUAGUGGAUAUUGAGACGGAAAAUAUAGGAAUUGUUGGAAGCACUGAAUGGAUGCUUGUUGAGCUGACGUCUGAACCAGCUGCAGUCAGCGUAGAUGACAUUCCAGAGAGGAAACAACAGGUGUGAAGCCCCCAAGGUGGGAGGAUCAGGCCCCUUAGGUCCAGAAGUCAUUGUCAUAACAGCAGCUGGCACGAACACGGGCUCACUGCUCGAAGUACGCCUCGCAUCGUAAGUUCCACUGCAGCCCCGGGAUGAGGACAAUGAGGAGAGUAACACCAGUAGCCCCAGGCUGUGGACAAGGACCCUGAAGCUCGUGUGGAUAAUGGCCGCCUACGUUUCCACAGAUAAUGAGUGGGAGGACCAGGAUGUGAACCAGACCGUCCGGCUCUCUGUGUCGAGCUUCUGUAAGAUGUUUGAGCGUUUCUUGAGUUUCACGAGGAGAUGGAGCCUGGUGUGCCAGAGACCAGGGGUCAGUGGGGCCAGGUCACAAGGGCCUGAGGCUGCUGCUUAUGUCAGGAUCCUUUUCUCCACGAGCAACAAAAGCAAACCAACACCAAACCAGCUACGUGAAAAGAGACACCGUUGUGCACUUGCCUGAAAGAUUGGGGGUAGGUUUCAGAUCUGGCUUGAUUCAGGGGCUUAAGUGUCAUCAACAGCACCCAUUUUCUCUUCUCCUUCCCUAUAUUGGCUUUAUUCUGAGAGCAUUUCUGUCCAACAACUCAAACCUUAACAUCCUCCCAAUUCAUAAUUCAAAAGCUUCAAGAAAGAUUGCCUACCACUUCCCAGCCGUUCAAGCAUAAAGCCUGUUUGGGCUGAAA